AGGCGAGUAGCUCAGCGGUUAGAGCAUGGGUCUUAUAAGCUCAAGGUAGCUGGUUCAACUCCAGCCUCGCCUA
rnacentral:tRNA from 1 species